rnacentral:rRNA from 1 species
AUAGCGUAUAUUAAAGUUGUUGCAGUUAAAAAGCUCGUAGUUGAAUUUCGGGAUCAAUUGAUCGGUCGUGCCUCUGGUACGCACUGGUUUUAUUGGUUUCUCCCUUCUGACGAACCAGGAUGUCAUUAAUUUGGUGUCUUGGAGAAUCAGGACUGUUACUUUGAAAAAAUUAGAGUGUUUAAAGCAGGCUAACGCUUGAAUACAUUAGCAUGGAAUAAUGAAAUAGGACGUUUGAUCCUAUUUUGUUGGUUUCUAGGAUCGACGUAAUGAUUAAUAGGGAUAGUUGGGGGCAUUAGUAUUCAAUUGUCAGAGGUGAAAUUCUUGGAUUUAUUGAAGACUAACUACUG